AAUGGGUGCUUCAUUCGGAGUAAAGUCUCAAGGAGUCUCAUUCCUGAUUUGAAGUGACCCACAUGGGUUCACAGUUCUCUCUCAGAACACGUACUCCUUUGAUUUUCUUGAAAGCCUUUGGAAAGCCUUGGGACACCUGUAGGUUCCACUGUGUGCCUGGAAGUAAAGGAUUCCGAGACGGUCGAGGCACAAGUUGGGAGAGCCUGACCCCUGAGCCACUGCUGAGAGGACAUCCUUCUGGGAGAGUAGCUGACCUGCACUGGACCUUGUGAACAUGAGAAACAAAUUUUCACUUUGCAAUCAGUAUGGACUCUGUUGGAAUGUAAUGUGUCAAUUUGGUUUCAUGCCUCAUCACACUGGCAGAUAGAAGAGGGUAAUGGCUGCUUUGGGGAGUGGAGGAAGCCAAAAAGAAGGCAAAGAGUGAAGACAGAGAAACAAGAUGUCAGUGGUGGUGCUGAGAAGGAAUAGAGAGACUUUUCUUCGUGCUAAGGGCCGCAGAGGGAGGAAUCCAGCUGAGGACUACACAGAAGCAUCUGGCUCCAGGAAUAACAGAUCAAAUGGUGACGAACUCCUUCAAAAUGGUCCCCAAGGCUUCACUGUGGAUGAAAGGAAGAAGUCAAUGCCUUUGCUCAAAGAGAAAAAAUGUUUUUCUGUUUGAUUGUUGAUGAGCAUUCCUGCCUUGAGAAAAAGAAGGCUAAUUGUGUAUGCUGGCAAAGCAUGUGUAUGCUCAUGACUGCUAGGAAUCAAGAGCCAUGAAUACGAACUUCCCAUUGCUCCCCGUUGCAUGCCAGAAGAUGUUUCACUUUGGAAUGCUCCUCCAUCUGACCCUGGGACUGGCUUUACUAAAAUGAGUGUUGGAAUGUCUACCCCCAUAAGAAAGCAUCCAGACUCACCACUUACUGGACAUAUCCUGCAGAAUUGAGGCUUUCUAGGCCUGCCCAGCUUGGUCAAUUUUUCCAUCAAGCCAGAGACAUGUGCUCAAUUUGGAAAGAAUCAGGGAUCCACUAGUACUCUCCCAGGCUAUUGUGCUAGACAGACAUAUAAAUGGAUAAUUGCAGCAUGGAGUGAAAAAAGCAUAAUGAUGUUGGUGCUGUGAUAGAAGGACACACACUAAGCCCCAGAUUAUUGAGAAAUCCUCAGCCUGGCCAGGCCCUGGUGAGUAUAACUUCCAGUAUCUCGACCUUUGCACUCUCUGUGGGUGCUCAGGAAAUGAGAGAGGAUUUAUAGAAUGUCCUCCCCACUUUUUCUAAUUAUGGUUUUAUUUCUUGUCAAAGGGAGAAUAUUUUCCUACAUGUCACAUCCUCAACUUUGAUAUAUUAUCCAAGAUAAGUUACAGCAGCAGCUCUUACUUCUCCAGAUGUUAGCUCCUACUUGGGUGGCUGAAUAGCUUUCAUCCUUGAGACCAGAAAAAGUCUCAUCUUCAGAAACAAUGCUAUGAUGCACUAACAACACUAAAUUAAUUUCCUGUCUUGGGUGGGUCCAGAGCAUUCCAGUAAGGUCACAAGUAUGUUAUGGACUGUGAAAGAGUAAAAAAUAUGCUCCCUUCUUUUGCAAGCUUCCCCAAGAUCCAUGUGAAUGAAGCACACUGACCUCAUGCUUUCAUGUAAAGUAUUAUUGAUAUCAGAGCUGGCAGAGGAAAAGGAUGACUGGGCCAGGCAAGGACUGAGCAGGGAGGCGCUGUUAGCAUAUUUUGACAUUCGGCCUGUCUCUGGCUGAGAACCUUGAAGAUCAUCCAUGCUUAUCCCUCUGAAUAUAGAUUUCUUUUCCUUAGGAAUAGAAUUUUCAGCAGGACACCCAUAAGCAAGCUGUGACGUGCACUCAUAGCCAGCAAGUGGCUCUCUGAGGGUUCCACCCAUCAUGAUCAUCACCGGGUUAUCUUUGCAUCUUCCCUCAGUCCUGAGUCUCUACUCCACUCAUUCUAGUUGUCUGACGGUACAGGCUGCACAGAGUCAAUCAAGCAAGCAUCUAUCUAUAGGGCCCAGUUAUGGGCCUAGUGCUAUGUAUCUUCUUCUUUUUUUUUUCCCUAAGGAUUGGCACCUGAGCUAACAUCUGUUGCCAAUCUUCUUC